UUUGCGUACAGAGUUUGCUCCAUCUGGCAGCAGAAGAGAAGGUCAGAGAGAUUUGAUGUACAAGGUGACUUGAUAGAUCAUUGCUGGCUUGAAGGCAGAGGAAAACACAUGAAAAGGAAUGUGGGUGGUCUUAAGAUGCUGAGAAAGGACUCUGGGUGACAGCCAGAAAAUAAGGGACCUAGCACUUCCAACAGCAAGGAACCGUACUCUAACAACCUAAAUGAGCCUAGAGGCAGAUGUCUUCCUAGAGCCUCCAGACAAGGAAUCUGCCUUGCUAACACCUUCCUCUCAGCCUUAUGAUACUCUGACCAUUGAAUCCAGCCUGCUGUAAACUAUACGUUAAUAAAUGGGUGUUAUUUGAAGCCACUUAGCUUGUGGUAAUCUGUUAUGCAUCAACAGGAAACUAAUACAUAGUCCUUUACAUUUCGUUUGCUCAGGAGCCAGAUGAGUUUCAGAACUGGGUCAUUUGUGCCUAUGCAGGUGGCACUCAGCCAAGUAAACUGCGGCCAUGUGCUAUCAAGUUCUCUCUCAAAUUCACCAAUAUACCUGGGAGUUGUGCUGGUCUCCAUAGCGGUUCAGUUAACGAGGUCUUUUUCUCAAACUUGAUUCUUCUCAAAAUAUAUUGGCUACUUGAGAGAUGUCAUUACACUCCUGUGAUUUAUACAGAAGCAUACUGUCUUGUCCACUCUGACUGGCGGGCUUCCCCAUCAAGAAGUCUCUUAGUGAAACUCCAUGCCGCUCAGGUCACUUCCAGCCCGCUGGGUGACACAUCCUGUCUGCUGGCCUCUUCCCCCUCCAGGCUCU